rnacentral:rRNA from 1 species
CCUACGGGAGGCAGCAGUAAGGAAUAUUGGUCAAUGGACGCAAGUCUGAACCAGCCAUGCCGCGUGCAGGAUGACGGCCUUCUGGGUUGUAAACUGCUUUUAUACGGGAAGAAACCUCUGGUUGCGAUCAGAGCUGACGGUACCGUAAGAAUAAGGACCGGCUAACUUCGUGCCAGCAGCCGCGGUAAUACGAAGGGUCCAAGCGUUAUCCGGAUUUAUUGGGUUUAAAGGGUGCGUAGGCGGCUUAUUAAGUCAGUGGUGAAAGACUUCAGCUUAACUGAAGAACUGCCAUUGAUACUGAUGAGCUUGAAUAUACUUGAGGUGGGCGGAAUGUGUCAUGUAGCGGUGAAAUGCUUAGAUAUGACACAGAACACCGAUUGCGAAGGCAGCUCGCUAAAGUAUGAUUGACGCUGAUGCACGAAAGCGUGGGGAGCAAACAGGAUUAGAUACCCUGGUAGUCCACGCCCUAAACGUUGAUAACUCGAUGUNUGCGAUAUACAGUACGCGUCCAAGCGAAAGCAUUAAAGUUAAUCCACCUUGGGAAAGUCGGUUGCGAAGAUUGAAACUUAAAUUGAAUUGACGG